rnacentral:rRNA from 1 species
UGGGGAAUAUUGCACAAUGGGCGCAAGCCUGAUGCAGCCAUGCCGCGUGUAUGAAGAAUGCCUUCGGGUUGUAAAGUACUUUCAGCGGGGAGGAAGGGAGUAAAGUUAAUACCUUUGCUCAUUGACGUUACCCGCAGAAGAAGCACCGGCUAACUCCGUGCCAGCAGCCGCGGUAAUACGGAGGGUGCAAGCGUUAAUCGGAAUUACUGGGCGUAAAGCGCACGCAGGCGGUCUGUCAAGUCGGAUGUGAACUCCCCGGGCUCAACCUGGGAACUGCAUCUGAUACUGGCAAGCUUGAGUCUCGUAGAGGGGAGUAGAAUUCCAGGUGUAGCGGUGAAAUGCGUAGAGAUCUGGAGGAAUACCGGUGGCGAAGGCGGCCCCCUGGACGAAGACUGACGCUCAGGUGCGAAAGCGUGGGGAGCAAACAGG